GAUGAAGAACGCAGUGAAAUGCGAUACGUAAUGUGAAUUGCAGAAUUCAGUGAAUCAUCGAGUCUUUGAACGCACAAUGCGCCCCCUGGUAUUCCGGGGGGCAUGCCUGUCCGAGCGUCAUUGCUGCCCUCAAGCACGGCUUGUGUGUUGGGCCUCCGUCCUCCUCCCGGGGGACGGGCCCGAAAGGCAGCGGCGGCACCGCGUCCGGUCCUCGAGCGUAUGGGGCUUCGUCACCCGCUCUUGUAGGCCCGGCCGGCGCUUGCCGACACAUCAAUCUUUUUUCCAGGUUGACCUCGGAUCAGGUAGGGAUACCCGCUGAACUUAAGCAUAUCAAUAAGCGGAGGA
rnacentral:misc_RNA from 1 species